GGAAGGUUAGUCCAAGCAAGACCUCUGAUUUCGGCUCAGAGAAUCACGGUUAGAAUCCAUGACCUUCUU
rnacentral:tRNA from 1 species